GGGCCCGCACAAGCGGUGGAGCAUGUGGUUUAAUUCGAUGAUACGCGAGGAACCUUACCAGGGCUUAAAUGCAGAACGACCGGGGUGGAAACACCCCUUUCUUCGGACGGUCUGCAAGGUGCUGCAUGGUUGUCGUCAGCUCGUGCUGUGAAGUGUCGGGUUAAGUCCCAUAACGAGCGCAACCCCUAUUUCUAGUUGCCAGCGGUUCGGCCGGGGACUCUAGAGAAACUGCCAGCGUAAGCUGUGAGGAAGGUGGGGAUGACGUCAAAUCAUCACGGCCCUUACGUCCUGGGCUACACACGUGCUACAAUGGUAGGGACAGAGAGUUGCCAACCCGCGAGGGUGAGCUAAUCUUCAAACCCUAUCUCAGUUCGGAUCGGAGUCUGCAACUCGACUCCGCGAAGUUGGAAUC
rnacentral:rRNA from 1 species